UGCGUAGGCGGCCCGGAAAGUUGGGUGUGAAAGCCCUCGGCUCAACCGAGGAAUUGCGCCCAAAAACUACCGGGCUGGAGGGAGAUAGAGGUGGGCGGAGCUUAGGGUGGAGCGGUGAAAUGCGUUGAUAUCCUAAGGAACACCAGGAGCGAAAGCGGCCCACUGGGUCUCUUCUGACGCUGAUGCACGAAAGCUAGGGGAGCGAACGGGAUUAGAUACCCCGGUAGUCCUAGCCGUAAACGAUGAGCACUAGUUUGGAGGGUCCUCCAUAGCCCUCUAGACGUAGCGAAAGUGUUAAGUGCUCCGCCUGGGGAGUAUGGUCGCAAGGCUGAA
rnacentral:rRNA from 1 species